CCUCGCCUCUUUACGUCCAAAGAGUUGGAUGUCCAUCUGGCAAAGAUCCAAGGCGUGGUGAUGUCUAGAACAGAAGGCUGCAGGACUUCUUCGACAGGCUGCUGCUCCAACUUCAAGAAGACUUUUGAAGAUCUUUCUAAUCAGAUUUAGAUCUAAUUUUUGGAGCAUAGAUUCACGAGGAGAAGGCAUUCUAGGUCCU
rnacentral:lncRNA from 1 species